rnacentral:rRNA from 1 species
UAGGGAAUCUUCGGCAAUGGGGGGAACCCUGACCGAGCAACGCCGCGUGAGUGAAGAAGGUUUUCGGAUCGUAAAGCUCUGUUGUUAAGGAAGAACGAGUGUGAGAAUGGAAAGUUCAUGCUGUGACGGUACUUAACCAGAAAGGGACGGCUGACUACGUGCCAGCAGCCGCGGUAAUACGUAGGUCCCGAGCGUUGUCCGGAUUUAUUGGGCGUAAAGCGAGCGCAGGCGGUUAGAAAAGUCUGAAGUGAAAGGCAGUGGCUCAACCAUUGUAGGCUUUGGAAACUGUUUAACUUGAGUGCAGAAGGGGAGAGUGGAAUUCCAUGUGUAGCGGUGAAAUGCGUAGAUAUAUGGAGGAACACCGGUGGCGAAAGCGGCUCUCUGGUCUGUAACUGACGCUGAGGCUCGAAAGCGUGGGGAGCGAACAGG